rnacentral:rRNA from 1 species
GGGAGGCAGCAGUGGGGAAUAUUGGACAAUGGGCGCAAGCCUGAUCCAGCCAUGCCGCGUGAGUGAUGAAGGCCUUAGGGUUGUAAAGCUCUUUUGUCCGGGACGAUAAUGACGGUACCGGAAGAAUAAGCCCCGGCUAACUUCGUGCCAGCAGCCGCGGUAAUACGAAGGGGGCUAGCGUUGCUCGGAAUUACUGGGCGUAAAGGGCGCGUAGGCGGCCGAUUAAGUCGGGGGUGAAAGCCUGUGGCUCAACCACAGAAUUGCCUUCGAUACUGGUUGGCUUGAGACCGGAAGAGGACAGCGGAACUGCGAGUGUAGAGGUGAAAUUCGUAGAUAUUCGCAAGAACACCAGUGGCGAAGGCGGCUGUCUGGUCCGGUUCUGACGCUGAGGCGCGAAAGCGUGGGGAGCAAACAGGAUUAGAUACCCUGGUAGU